ACUCACCAGGUCAGGACACGGUAAGGAUUGACGGACUGAAGGCUCUUUCUCUAUUCCGUGGAAAGUGGUGCAUGGCCGUUUUUGGUUGGUGGAUCGAUCCGUCUGGUUAAUUCCGUUAACGAACGAGACCUCGGCACUCCGAAUAGCGCGGCGGACGUCGCGGCCUCCGGGGCCGUCUUCCGCACGAGCUUCUUAGAGGGACCGUCCCCCGCCGGGGAAGGAGGUGCGAGGCAACGACAGGUCUGUGAUGCCCUUAGAUGUUCUGGGCCGCACGCGCAUUACACUGACGCGUCCAACGGGUGACUCCCGACCCGAAGGGGCCGGGGAAUCCGCAAGGCGCGUCGUGAUGGGGAUUGAACGUUGCAAUUGUUGUUCACGAACGAGGAAUUCCUAGUAGGCGCGGGUCAUCAACCCGCGCCGAUUACGUCCCUGCCCUCUGAGAC
rnacentral:rRNA from 1 species